GUGAAAAUACUGAGACACACUAAUGGAACCAGCAAAGCUGGGAAUGAGUGGUCCAAAGAGGCGAGAGACCCUAAACAGGUUUUUUUUUAGUGUUAUGGUGACCAUAUGUCCUGGCUUACAUGGCCCAGUCUUGAUUUCACCAAAUUCUGUUCUUUCUAUUGAAAGAUCCUUACCUAGUACUAAUAAAAAGUCAAGGAUUGGAAGGGGCCAGCUCCAUCGCCAACUGCUUAAGUUCGCACGCUCUGCUGUGGUGGCCCAGGGUUUUGCUGUUUCGCUGGUUCGGAGCCUGGGCG